rnacentral:tRNA from 1 species
AAAUAGGAAGCAAUUUACAUGCAUUUAAUUUCGACUUAAAAGAUAGAGUUUAAUAUACUCCCUAUUUA